UACGGAGGGGACGAGCGUUGUUCGGAAUUACUGGGCGUAAAGCGCGCGUAGGCGGAUUUGUAAGUCAGGUGUGAAAUCCCGGGGCUCAACCUCGGAACUGCCUUUGAUACUGCAAAUCUCGAGUCCGGAAGAGGUGAGUGGAAUUCCUAGUGUAGAGGUGAAAUUCGUAGAUAUUAGGAAGAACACCAGUGGCGAAGGCGGCUCACUGGUCCGGUACUGACGCUGAGGUGCGAAAGCGUGGGGAGCAAAAAGG
rnacentral:rRNA from 1 species